rnacentral:rRNA from 1 species
ACGGGGUGCAGCAGGCGCGAAACCUCCACAAUGCGCGAAAGCGUGAUGGGGUUAUCCCGAGUGCCGUCCGAUGAGGAUGGCUUUUAAUCGAUGUAAGGAUUCGAUAGAAUAAAGGGGGGGCAAGACUGGUGUCAGCCGCCGCGGUAAUACCAGCCCCCUGAGUGGUAAGGACGAUUAUUUGGCCUAAAGCGUUCGUAGCCGGCUUAUCAAGUCUUUUGUUAAAUCCAACGAUUCAAUCGUUGGGCCGCAAAAGAUACUGUUAUGCUAGAGGACGGGAGAGGUCGACGGUAGUCCAGGGGUAGGGGUGAAAUCCUAUAAUCCUUGGAGGACCACCAGUGGCGAAGGCGGUCGACUAGAACGUGCCUGACGGUGAGGGACGAAAGCUGGGGGAGCGAACCGGAUUAGAUACCCGGGUAGUCCCAGCUGUAAACGAUGCGGGCUAGGUGUUGGGGCAGCCACGAGCUGCUCCAGUGCCGCAGAGAAGUUGUUAAGCCCGCCGCCUGGGAGUACGCCGCAAG